rnacentral:lncRNA from 1 species
GCUUUUGAUACUCCAAAUUACACAAACAACGCUCUAAGUGUUUGGACUUCUAAUGCCUAGCAUACAUCAGAUGUUUUAAAGCCCAAGCCCAGAACCAGAGAAAUGGCUCAGCUGUUAAGUGCACAUGUUACUCUUGCAAAUGACCCAGGUUCCAUUCCCAGCACCCAUGUUGGACUUCUGGCCUCUUUGGGUACCUGCACCCAUGUUUCCAGACUCAUAAGUAAAAAUAAAUCUGUAAGAAAAUAAAUUCCCAUUCACAAAACACAAGAAUUUCCCUUUGCUUUCCCGCAAAUACCCACUUUUAACCACUUGUUUGACAGCUGUCUAAGCCCUUUCCUGGUUGUCUCUGCCAAGACUCCUGUGAGUGCAUGCUACUUCAAUCUUCCUUUGCCUCUCGAUGCUGGACUGAGACGUCACCCGUUCUAUGACAUCAUCCAUUCUAUGACAUCAUCCAUUCUGUGACGUCAUCCAUUCUAUGACUGACACCCUCCCGGCUCUGAGAGGUCUAAAUGCCAUAUUUUUCUCCAAUGCCUUUCUUGUCUUGUUUGGUUUUCCACACUUAACCCAGAAUGUAUGUGGAAUGUGGCUUAAGAAUCCAGAAUUUGAAUUUCUGAAUAUUCAAAGACUUCUAAGUUGGACUGUAUGGCGCCAUCUUAAAACCUGCCAAGGGGAGGACACAGAGCCUGAGUCAUGGACCGCACUGAUGUCUGCUUGCUCCACUGACAGACAUUUACUCAGUGACAAUGCUUACCAAUCACGCUCCAUGAUGCCCCAUCUUACCAUGGCCUCACAGCCAGUAGAGCCAAGGACUGAGGGCUGUGAAGGAAAUAAAUUUCUCCCUUAAGUUGUUUUCAGACAUCGUGUCAUGGUGAUGAGAAAACUUUCUUACACAGUAGUUCCCUGACCUUUGUGUGCUGUCUCAGGAG